rnacentral:rRNA from 1 species
CAAUAGCGUAUAUUAAAGUUGUUGCGGUUAAAAAGCUCGUAGUUGGAUUUCUGCCGAGGACGACCGGUCCGCCCUGUGGGUGAGCAUCUGGAUCGGCCUGGGCAUCUUCUUGGGGAACGUAGCUGCACUUGACUGUGUGGUGCGGUAUCCAGGACUUUUACCUUGAGGAAAUUAGAGUGUUUCAAGCAGGCGCACGCCUUGAAUACAUUAGCAUGGAAUAAUAAUAUAGGACCUGUUUUCUAUUUUGUUGGUUUCUAGAGAAUAGGUAAUGGUUAAUAGGGAUAAUUGGGGGCAUUCGUAUUAAGGCGUCAGAGGUGGAAUUCUUGGAUUGCCUUACGACGAACUACUGCGAAAGCAUUUGCCAAGGAUGUUUUCAUUGAUCAAGAACGAAAGUAU